rnacentral:rRNA from 1 species
UCCUACGGGAGGCAGCAGUGGGGAAUCUUGCACAAUGGAGGAAACUCUGAUGCAGCGAUGCCGCGUGAGUGAAGAAGGCCUUUGGGUUGUAAAGCUCUUUUGUAGGGGAAGAUAAUGACUGUACCCUAAGAAUAAGGUCCGGCUAACUUCGUGCCAGCAGCCGCGGUAAUA